UUAAGUAGCUAAACAUUAAUUAAUCAACUGAUUAAUUAAUGGACGUGAAGUUGAAGUUGGCACACGUAGUUUGCGUAAACAGAAGCGAUGAGCUGAACCCUAGCCUCGACUUGGCCAAAUCGAACUGCAGCAGAUUAUCCUCCAGCUGGAGCCCUCCGAUCACGAUCGAAGUUCUCGGAUUCUCGCCGCCGUUCACAAUCCCAAGGCACAAAACGUUGUCGUUCACCUGCACCAUCGAGUUCGCCCCGAACACCCUCCAGAACGUGCUGUUGUUCUGGAACACAAAGUCAAUGCUGGGCACGGACGGCCCCACGCGCGUGCUCAACACAUUUUCUGUGCUGAAGCACACCUCAAACGGGCCAGUAGCGCCUGUUUGAGUGAUGUUCCUGGCUUUAGCUUCGCUGAUGAACAUCUCGGUCACAGCCUUGAAUAUGGAGGCCUCGAGGACCGUGUAGGGAUUGACGGUGCUGAUCUUGGUCCCACCGACGCCCUCACCGUCGAUCGACAGAAGCGUCGUGUUGAUGGCGACGGGCUUCUCGUUGACGUUAAUGGCGUUGACUUGGAUGAAGUAUUCGGACGAGGGAUCGCCUUGGGAGAAAGCCGACGCCGUGCUGACUGGAUUAAUGUACAGCCGGGUGUAGAUCAGGGACUGCGAAACGUCGACGUUUCUCGGGAGGAACACGUAGGGACCGUCCCCGAAAAAGACAACGCCGUUUAUGUCAGUACGCGUGGAGGACGACAGACAGAUGGCGAACGUCCUGUCGAAGCUGAACGCGGAUGCGAAUUGCGAAGGUAGAGAUAUUCUGGUGCGGCCGAGUCCAGCCAUCCCCGAUACCCCCGCAGCAAGGCCUUGUAAUAAGAAAGUCGGCGCGCAAGCGAAAAGGAACUGCGAAACGGUGACGUUGGGUCCCGGGUUGGAACCGGUUGUUGACUGGACUGAAACAACAUCGGAUGCGAGCUCACCGCCUGUCGCUGUGUGCGUGACGGUGUUGCCGGGGGUGAGGCCGCAGGUGUUGUUGUUGCAUCCGGGUUUCGGGG
rnacentral:lncRNA from 1 species